UUGAUUUUUAUGAGAAAUAUCAAUGAAACAAUGUGUGAGUUGCUAACGUGCGGUAAUAAAUAAUCUGCUGACAGUCACACACAAUUAACUGACCGGCGACAAGGGGUGACCGGUUGAAUAAUAACCAGUCCCGUUUCUCACCGUCACUCUGCAUCGGGGAACUGAUUAUAAAAUUAUAAAACUGAUUAUAAAAUCACACUUCGGGGCCGUGUCCGGGAUCGCUGCAGAUUCAGGGUCACUGCCGAGGGAUUUGUCCAUUUAACAUCAUUAUAUCGGCCAGGCUGCCGAAUGCACCGUCCUCAGCAAAGGGGGCAAAAGGAUUCUCUCCCGGGACCAUCCCCCCCACCCCGGGACACCGGUGUCCCAGACUGAGCCCCGGACCCCGGGCUCUUCCUGUCCGGGUAAUUCCCCGGGGUGCCACGUGGGGAGUCUCCAACACGCACUUCCGGCGGAAGCUGCCCCGCCGGACAACAGGCGGAAACACGUCACUGCGGGACCGCUGCGAGCGACGCACACAGCGCGAGGCCCGAGCCGGUUCCGUUAAAACCGUUGGGAAUCAGCCCCGGCGCGCGGCCGUUAAAGAAAAGUGUUCCUGACGUGAGACAGUCGGAAAGGGCAGGUGUGAAGGGGAGAAGUCAAACAGUGAGGAAGAUUUGAGAAUCGGGAAAUGUCGAUGGGAGAUGGAGGAAGAGACAUCACCUAAGUUUGCACUUUAUCCCGUUGUGAUGCGGUUUGAACGGCAUCGUCUGGAUGAAAGUAAAUUAUGAGUGGGCUUAAAGCGAGACAAAACCAUAGUGGGCUCAGUGAGUCGCUCUGGAAAAUCCCUCCAUUUAUUUUGAUAGUGGUCGUUGUUCCUCUCUGGUUGUUACUAGGACGAUUAUUUUACGCGAAUGCUUCAUCAGUUGUAAAAAUUUCACGAGUAUUGUAUGAAUUGUAUAUAUAUUUGGAACUUCUCUUAAACACACGAGGAACAGAAUCAGAUGUGAUUUUUUUUUCUGAUUGACAAUAUAACAGUGAAAGUUUUCUGCUUUCCACAGGGUUUGAAAUAGAAUUACAUAAUCUGUUUAGAAUUCCUGUAUUCUGUCUGCUCUCCUGUGAGUAUAUUGUGGUUAUCUAAGUUGUUAUCUGAGUUGUUAUUAGUUACAAGACGUAAGAUGCUAUAAUUUUAGAUAUAAAAUUGUCUUAUUAUUAUUAAGAGCCAAUAAUAUCAUAGUAGGUGACCAUUUAGUAGUCUUAUAAAUGCAGAAUAAAGCUGUCGUUGAGGCUGGUGGUACAUACCUUCAGCCUUUUAUAUGUUCUCCCCCAUGGGAGUGUGACAGAGAGGAUGUAUGAGGUGGUUUGGGGUUAAGAGAAAGGCUUUGAGUCGGGUUUGUGUCUUGCCAGCUUGAUUGACUUCCUCCAGGAGGUGACAAAGGUGAUGCAUGUAGUUACACAUGGAUAUUGUCUACUUGUAUAUUGUGAGAGUGUUUGACAAAGUCCCACAAGGGAGGCUCAUACAGAAUAUUAACAUGCUUGAGAACUGUGGGGAAUUGUCCUGGCUGCCGGGGACAAACUGGGAGAAAUGUCUUGGCUGGCGGGUGGUGAAUCUGUGAAAUUAUUGUCAUAGACGGCUGAGGAAGACACUUCAUUGGAUAUAUUUAAAAUGCAGGUCGAUAUGUUCCUGAUUAGGAAGAGUGUCCACGUUUACUGGGAUAAUGGGGUGGAGAGGAAUUGAAGAGCAAAUUCACUGAGCCGAAUGGCUUAAUUCUGCUACUAGGUCUUAUGGUUUUAGGGAGCAUCUGGAGUAUUGUGUUCUCUUCUGAUUGUCCAGCUCUUGGAAGGAUUGGAGAGGGUGCAGAAUGGGUUCAUCAGGAUGUUGCCUGGAUUCGGUGACAUGUGCUACAAGUAGAGUUUUGAUAAACUUGGUUUGUUUAUUCUGGAGUUAGAAUAGAGAUCUGACUGAGGUGUACAAGUUUGAGAGAUAUAAGUCUGGGUCGAUAGCCUGUAUUUUGCUUGUUGUUUUUGUUUUCAUAUGACUGGUGUCUAAUACCAGAGGGCAUUUGGUUAAGGUGAGAUGGGGUAAAUUUACAGCAAUUGUGGGUAGUUUUCUAACAGAGUUGUGGAUGCCUGGAAUUUACUGUCUGGGUCAACAUGGCUUUGUGAAGGGAACAUCGUGCCUCACGCUAAUUGAGUUUUUUGACGAGGUAAUAAGUAGCAAUUGAUGAAGGUACGGUGUAAUAUGUGCUCCAGAUGGAUUUUAGCAAGGCAUUUAACAAGGUCCCUUACGAGAGACUCAUCCAGAAAAUCAUGAGGCACUGGAUAAUUGGAACCUUGGCUGUUUGGAUAAAUAAUAAAUAAUUGGAAGAAAGCAGAGUUUAGUAGUGGAAGGAAAGUAUUCUGCCUGGAGGUCGGUGACUAGUGGAGUGCCGCAGGGAUCUGUCCUGGGACCCCUGCUAUUUGUGAUUUUUAUAAAUGACCUGGAUGUAGAGGUGGAAGAAUGGGUGAGUGAACUUGUGGAUGACAUGAAGAUUGGAGGAGUUGUGGAUGGAGCUGGUUGUUGAAGGUUACAAGAGGAUAUAGACAGGGUGCAGAUUUGGGCGGAAAAGUGGCAGAUGGGGUUCAAUCCGGAUAAGUGUGAGGUGAUGCAUUUUGGAAGGACAAACCAGAAAGCUGAGUACAAGUUUAAUCGUUGGUUACUUAAGAGUGUGAAUGAACAGAGGGACAUUGGGGUUCAAAUCCAUACAUCCCUUAAGGUCGUUGCAAGGGUUGAUAGGAUAGUUAAGAACUCCUAUGGGAUGCCAGGCUUCAUUAAUAGGGGGAUUGAGUUCAAGAGUAGAGAGGCCAAGUUACAAAUCUACAAAUCUCUGGUGAGACCACACUUAGAGUAUUGUGUUCAAUUCCGGUCAACUCAUUAUAGGAAGGAUGUGGAAGCUAUGGAGAGGGUGCAGAGGAGAUUUACCAGGAUGUCGCCUGGUUUGGAGAACAAGUCAUGUGAAGCAAGGUUAGCAGAGCUGGGACUUUUCUCUUUGGAGCGUAGAAGGAUGAGAGGGCACUUGAUAGAGGUCUAAAGAAUUAUGAGAGGCAUAGAUGGGGUGGAUUGCUAGAACCUGUUUCCCAGGGCACCAAUAGCAAACACUAGAGGGCAUAUGUACAAAGUUAAGGGAGGGAAGUUUAGGGGAGACAUCAGGGGUAAGUUUUUUACAAAGGGUUGU